UAAUAUGAAACAUUUAUAUGUAAUUUAAUUUCGACUUAAAUUAAUGGAACUUAAAUAUAUCCCAUAUUUU
rnacentral:tRNA from 1 species